rnacentral:rRNA from 1 species
AGUGAAUAGAUACCCCGGUAGUCCACGCCGUAAACGAUGGGUGCUAGAUGUCGGGGAGCUUAGCUUCUCGGUGUCGUAGCUAAACGCGUUAAGCACCCCGCCUGGGGAGUACGGCCGCAAGGUUAAAACUCAAAGGAAUUGACGGGGGUCCCGCACAAGCGGUGGAGCAUGUGGUUUAAUUCGAAAGCAACGCGCAGAACCUUACCAGCCCUCGACAUGGGCGUCGCGGCUCGGGGAAACUCGAGCCUUCAGUUCGGCUGGACGCCACACAGGUGCUGCAUGGCUGUCGUCAGCUCGUGUCGUGAGAUGUUGGGUUAAGUCCCGCAACGAGCGCAACCCUCCUCUUCAGUUGCCAUCGGGUAGGGCCGGGCACUCUGAAGAAACUGCCGGUGACAAGCCGGAGGAAGUGGGGAUGACGUCAAGUCCUCAUGGCCCUUACGGGCUGGGCUACACACGUGCUACAAUGGCGGUGACAGUGGGUUGCAAGCCUGCGAGGGUCAAGCUAAUCCCCGAAAAGCCGUCUCAGUUCGGACUGCAGUCU